ACCACUAAAUUUCAAACUCACGUAUCACUUGUUUUAAUUGGUAUAUUCAUUCACAUAUUACAUAUAAAAAGUUUUUUUUUAACAGAAACAUAUCCUAUUCAUCUUUCCAUAAGGUACACUUUGGUUUGAGGGAGUUUACAAAGAGUGCUACUACUCCCUACUCCAGAUUUGAAGCGGCCCUCUAUCUAAAAGAUGAGGUAAAUACAAAUAUAAAGCUUGGAUAUCCUGGUUACUAGGAUUAACAACAUGAUAUCCAAGUUAACAUAAGGUGUAACUAUAGUUACAAAAGAAGAAAAAGAUACACCAUUUAAGGUGGCUCCCCGAUAAUAUCAUGUUUCCUCUUCUUGAAUGUUCUGAACGUGUGGAUACCCCAUUUAUCCACUGUCAUGAGCCCUUUAACCUGUAUAGGGAGGUCUUCAAAAUCAACGUGCAUAUUGUUGUUCUGAUCGCUGUGAUAAUUUAUCGGCGACGUAGUUAGCUUUUCUAUAACAAUGUUGAAGAAUAUAUCCAUUCGAACUCAUAUGCCUCUUCAGUUCAUCAACUUCUUUCCGUAACCUCCCAGGGGUACUGCUGAGGUCAUUAACACAAUCUACAAGCAGUUUUGAAUCGUUUUCAGCUAUGAUAAAGUCAUGUCCAUUAUUUAUGCACCAUCUUAUACCAAACAUGAGUGAGUAGGCUUUAGACCUAAUUGCUACUUCCUUUUCCCAGCUUCAGAGAAUAGGCAAAAACAAGAUUACCAACAUGAUCUCUUACUAUUCCCCCUCCUCCACAUAUUUUAUUUUUGCUGCUUCCAUCAGAGUUAAGCUUAACAAAACCGAUAAAUGGUUUAAUCCAUUUAACCAUAACAAUCUUUUUUGAGUUGAUGUUGCUUCCCAUGAGCUAUACAAUGCUAUCCCAAUUCGGAAUUCACCUGAACCUUUUUAAAAUUAUUAUUGAUCAAUUGGGAGAUGGUGUUAGAAAUGUUAGUAAUAGAUGUCUUUCCUUUCCAUAUUUGGCUCCACAUUUUGCUCUCCAUAGUUCCCAUAUAAUAAUAGUUGGGAUACACCUUGCCAUAAACACGAUAACAACAUUUUUAGAUUUUCAUUUUCACUAGUUCAUAAGGAGCUGCCUCAGGGGAAUGUUGGAGAAGGGGAUGCCCAUCAGACCACAAAUGAUCCUCCAAACAUCUUGAGCAUAAUUGCAUGUACAAAAAAGAUAAUUCAAUAUUUUCUUCUUUUGGAACUCUGUAGCAACAACAUUUUGAUGGAAUAGCAAUUCUUAUUUUGGCAAUCCUAGUAUCAAUGGGAAUUAUGUCCCUCAGUGCUCACCAUAAGAUAAAAUUCAUCUUGAAAGGAAUGAAUGGCCCUAGUAAUGUCUGGUGCCAUUAUAGUCCAACAUGACUAGAAGAAUUUUGCUGAGUAACUAUCUGGCCCUGGUGCACUCUCAGGGUCUAUAGUGAAGAAGUUAUCCUUAAUCUCCUCUUCAGAGAGCAAUUCAACUAGGAGAUUAUUAUUUUCUUCAUCAAUCACAUUAGUAAUGCAAGACAAGUCCUCAAAAUUAUUAUAGUCUGGAAUUUGACUAAAAAUGCCUUUGAAAUAUCUUACAGCAACUUCUGAGACAUCUUUAUUGCCCUCCACCCAAAUAUGGUUCUCAUUCAUGAUCUUAUUGAUGCAAAGUCUUCUCAUUUUAUCCUUAAUAACUUUGUGAAAAUAUGUAGUGUUGUAAUCCCCUUCAUUUAACCAUCUUACCCUAGCUUUCUGCUUUAGAAUAGCUUCUUUAGUCUUAAGGAAUUGCACAUAUUAAGCCUUUGUCUUGUUGAGAUUGCUUCUAUUAUGAGGGGUGUUAUUGGCUAAAAAUUAUUGCUCAAGGAUAUCAAUGUCGGCUUUCAUCUUUUUAGGAUCUUUGUAGAUACAACCAUAAGCUUCUUUCGACCACAUACUGAGUUUGGUAGUAGUCUUUUUCAAUUGAAGAGUCCAUGUGAGAUUUCCUUGACAAUCUUCAUCCCACACACUUUUAACCACUUCCUGAAAUUGGGAGUGUUCUGUCCACAUAAUAUAGAACUUAAAAUACCCGACAAACUCCUUUUUAUUUCUGUUGAACUGAAGUAAUAGUAGAGCAUGAUAAGAACAAGCCCUUGCCAGAUGGGUCACAUAAGUGUUGUUGAAAAGAUUUAACCACUAUGAGUUGUACAUAACUCUGUCAAGUCUUUUCCAUAUAGUAGCGAGAGCUUCUCUAUUAUUACACAAAGUAUGCAUAUUCUCAGUAAAACCAGCAUCUUAUAAUCCACAGUUCUCCAUACAAUUGAUAAAGUCAAAACUUUUGUCAAUCUUAUAGGGAGUACCUCUGUCCUUUUCAAUAGCUUCCGCCUUCCAGUAUUACAUUAAAAUCACCUAUGAUACUCCACGAACCUGUUAGGGAAUUGGACAGUAGCACUAACUCUUCCCAUAGUUCUUUCCUCAUAGCAGUUCUACAUUUCGCAUAAACACAAGUGAUAUGAAUCUCUUCACUUGUGCUCGAGUGAUUAAUUCUACAAGUCGCAUAUUGAUUAGUAUCUUUAAUGACAUUAACUGUAAAGUUAUUAGACUAGAUUAACCAGAUUUUGGUGUUAAUGUUGUAUUAGCAAUAUUGUAUUUUUAGUACUUUCAUAUAGUUUGGCAAAUAUUCAGUUUGCACAAAGGGUUCUUGAAGACUUAUAAAAAUGAUAUUGUAUCUAUUUUUUAUAGUCUUGAGUCUUUCGAAAGCACUUAAAGUCCUUACACUCCUAAUAUUCCAUGAUAAAGUAUUAAUCAUUGGAAAUUAUGAGUGUUAGAUCUAUGCAUAUCCUUUGUAGCUUCAUUGUGCCCUCUUACUUUAUCCUGUCCAUCACGGUUCAAGUUAAAGUUAUCAGGGGCCAGUUGGAUGGAAAAAGAGGCCAGUUGUCACUCUUGUGUCAUCAUCACAUCUGAAACUCUUUUUUUCACAUUUUGAUCUUUCAUGGCAUAACUUGUAUCACUGACAACCACAAUUUCAUUGACAUCAUGAAAUUGAUCCUCCUCCAUUUCAACUUCAGACUCAGAUUCAUAAUGACUAUAUUCAUUUGUUUCUUGUAUUUGUAGGGGGACUUGAUUUGAAAUUCAAAGGUACCAUUUCCUAAUGGUUGUGGAUCAGGUGGCUUCUCUGGGACAACCUCAUAUGGAGUAACAUUUUUCCUACUUAGAUUAUUUAUUUUAGUAACUUCAUCGGUGUUCAUUUGAUCUGUUGAUUUAAGAGUUUUAUAAGCAAACAUAUUAUCCACCUUGGCAUCUAUACUAGUUUGAGUAUGUUGAUUGUAACAUUCUUUGGUUUCUUCUUUCUAAAAACCUUAUUCUUUCUUAGAGAUUCCUUUUAUGCUCUUUGCUCUUCUCUCAUAUGGUGGAUUUGUAGUUUCAGCCUGCUUAUUUUGUGCUCUCUUUCUUCUUAUUUGGUAUUUAUGAUCCACUCUCCUGUAUAAAUCUAAUGGGAGUAAUAACCUUUUUUUUUCUUUAGAUGUCUCAUUUUUGUUUCCUCCUUGAGCAGUAAAUGUGAUGCCAAAGACAUUGAUUUCCUUGGCACUUCCUGCAGUAUUCACUUAUGUAGUCUCCUUUUGAGUAGUUUUAGUAUCCUUGAAGGAUUCACCUAUUGCCUAAUUUUGCAGAACUAGAGCUAGAGUUGAAGUGUCUUUUUCUUUUUCUUUACCUUUAGUCACUGUUUUCCAACCUUCCUCCUCAUCAUUGUGGUCAUUUAAACCAUGAUUCUUAAGCAUAUGUCUUGUUCUUUCUUUUUUUCUUCCUUCUUUUCCUCAUGUGUAUCAUUGUUGUUAGUACCCUUGUUACUCUUUAUGUUGUUGCCUCUAUCAUCUUUGGAAGGGGCUUCUGGCUUUUGUUGAUUCUCAUAUUUCUUCUGAAUAUUUCUUAGCUCUGGUGCAUGAUUCUACAAUUUGCAUCAUUAUGACCUUGAGCUCUGCAAUGCUAACAAUACUCUAGGACAUUUUCAUAUUCCACCUUCUGGGAGAAGGAUUCUAAAUCUCCAUUCUCAUUCGCAAAUUUGAUUUGUACUUCUUCCACUUAUGGUCUAGUGAUAUAAAUCUCAACCUUUUUCUUAGCAGUAGUCGGUCUUGUCUUAGCAAGGGUUGCCUUGUCAGAUACAAUAGGGAUACCAGCAGGUGCGAUAAUCUGACACAAAGCAUCCCACUCAAAGUAGUGCCACUUCAAGUCUGUGAGAUUAAUCCAGACUACAGAUAGAGUGGUUUCAACAUUUGGUUUGAAAUUAUACUUUCAGGUUGAGAGUUUUACUUGCAUAUUACGGAGAGCGAUAAAGGUCCUACCAUACGCACUCCUUUGAUCCUCCUCAAGGUCAAAAUCAAUAAAUGUGUGAUAUAGAUCAAAAGCCCCUAUCUUGACAGCUGCUUUAAGAGGGAUAUUUUUCUGAAAAUUAGUGCGAUUUUUUUUCAAUUGAGGGACGAAUUCAAGAAAACUUACCUAUAAUCGUAAGUUUACAGGUGAUCGCAAGUAAGGUUGUGCAUGGAUCAGUUCGGAUCAGAUUUAGCACAUUUCGGAUUGAAAAUUUAGAUUUUGGAUUCUACAAAAUACAAUUCGAAUCCGAUCCGAAUUAAUAUCGGAUCACAUCAGAUUUUAAAGU
rnacentral:lncRNA from 1 species